UCUUCACUUCACAUUCUCUCCUUUACCCCUCGAUCACUUUCCCAUUCCAACCAUUCCUCUCCUUCUUCUCUUUUACAUCCAGUUCCUUUAAAUCUCUCACAAAAUCUGUACUAUCACUGUCUUACAACAAUAAUUUCUCACAAUGACCCAUAUCUAAGUUUGUACGCAACGAUUCAUUUUCAUCUGAUUUUGGACCACGUGGAAGAAGAUGAGAUCUUUUACUAGAAGGGAGACAAGGACUUUCAAAUCGUGAAGAGCUAUCUUUUAGUAAAAGGAUUCAAUGUCGGUUAUGUCAUAAAUGGCGCGAAGCAAUCGAAUGGAGCCCGAAUUGGAUGCAUUACCAGCUCUGGAACAGCUGGUGAAAAUUUUCAAAAUGCUUUAUGCAACGCUGAAGCUCAUCAAAGAGAAUAUGCAUCAAAUUAGGGUGGUGAAGAAUCAUUUGAGAAACCACUAUUAUAAAAGCAGGACUAUUGGCACGUUGACUUCGUGGACGAUCUAGGACAAUUUUACUUGCAAUCAAAAGUGAUAAGCC